AACAAACGCUGGCGGCGUGCCUAAUACAUGCAAGUCGAACGGGGUAGCAAUACCUAGUGGCGCACGGGUGAGGAACGCGUGGAUAAUCUGCCUUAGAGUGGGGGAUAACUAGUCGAAAGAUUAGCUAAUACCGCAUAAGACCACAGGAGCUGCGGCUCUAGGGGUCAAAGGUUUUUCGCUCUAAGAUGAGUCCGCGUAAGAUUAGCUAGUUGGUGAGGUAACGGCUCACCAAGGCGACGAUCUUUAACUGGUCUGAGAGGAUGAUCAGUCACACUGGAACUGAGACACGGUCCAGACUCCUACGGGAGGCAGCAGUAGGGAAUAUUGCACAAUGGAGGAAACUCUGAUGCAGCGACGCCGCGUGAGCGAUGAAGGCCUUCGGGUCGUAAAGCUCUGUCGUAUGGGAAUAAGCUCUGAAUGUACCAUGCAAGAAAGGAUCGGCUAACUUCGUGCCAGCCGCCGCAGUAACAC
rnacentral:rRNA from 1 species